rnacentral:rRNA from 1 species
AACGAACGCUGGCGGCAGGCCUAACACAUGCAAGUCGAGCGAACCCUUCGGGGUUAGCGGCGGACGGGUUAGUAACGCGUGGGAAUAUACCCUUUGGUACGGAAUAGCCUCGGGAAACUGAGAGUAAUACCGUAUGUGCCCUUCGGGGGAAAGAUUUAUCGCCGAAGGAUUAGCCCGCGUUGGAUUAGAUAGUUGGUGGGGUAAUGGCCUACCAAGUCUACGAUCCAUAGCUGGUUUGAGAGGAUGAUCAGCAACACUGGGACUGAGACACGGCCCAGACUCCUACGGGAGGCAGCAGUGGGGAAUCUUAGACAAUGGGCGCAAGCCUGAUCUAGCCAUGCCGCGUGGACGAUGAAGGCCUUAGGGUUGUAAAGUCCUUUCAGAUGGGAAGAUAAUGACGGUACCAUCAGAAGAAGCCCCGGCUAACUCCGUG